UGUGCUGCGUUAAUCUUAUUUCCAUACAAUGUGCUGAAAGCAGCUAAUGGAACGCAUGAAUUCUAACUGUUGGUUGCAUUCAGCCUUCAACGUCUAAGGUCCCAUCAAUUACCAACUAGACAUUAGUAUUCAAAUGACGACGACAAAGGUACUCUUUUUCACUUCGUCUCAACAACACCACUUGCAUUUCAAAUGUUCAAGAGAUCUCAAUGAAGACUUGGAAAGGAAUAUCGGUUUUUAGUUGUGUUCAUACAUUAAGCUGAGUUGAAUGAGCUCUACGAAAACUGCUUUCCUCAUUUCGUUAGGGAAUGUACAACUUCAGAAGUAUCUGUAAUGAAGGCUAUUUGUCGGCUGGCGGUUGAAACGCUGUCUGAUGGCGCUUGAAAAAUUCACGAAAUCCAUAUGCGCUCAUGUCGUAAUUGUACUGUUAACAUCAAACCGCAAGAACCUACGUGUCACUGACCAAAAACGCUAACGAUUUGCACAGAUCAACAUACUUGCUCAUGGACUAUACUUGGAAAGGCUACUCGCAACACUCAUUACCUCUGUAAUCUUUAAAAUCCACAAGCGAACAGAGCUUGCAUUUAAGUUGAAGAGAAUGGAAACUAAACACCAUAGCAUCGGAGAAUUGAUAUGUUGAGAAGGACUAACCGGAGUAACAUUGUCACUG
rnacentral:lncRNA from 1 species